rnacentral:rRNA from 1 species
CGAACGCUGGCGGCGUGCCUAAUACAUGCACGUCGAACGAGAGCGACCGGUGCUUGCACUGGUCAAUCUAGUGGCGAACGGGUGAGUAACACGUGGGUAACCUGCCCAUCAGAGGGGGAUAACAUCCGGAAACGGAUGCUAAAACCGCAUAGGUCUUCGAACCGCAUGGUUUGAAGAGGAAAAGAGGCGCAAGCUUCUGCUGAUGGAUGGACCCGCGGUGCAUUAGCUAGUUGGUGAGGUAACGGCUCACCAAGGCCGUGAUGCAUAGCCGACCUGAGAGGGUGAUCGGCCACAUUGGGACUGAGACACGGCCCAAACUCCUACGGGAGGCAGCAGUAGGGAAUCUUCCGCAAUGGACGCAAGUCUGACGGAGCAACGCCGCGUGAGUGAAGAAGGUUUUCGGAUCGUAAAACUCUGUUGUUAGAGAAGAACAAGUGCUAGAGUAACUGUUAGCGCCUUGACGGUAUCUAACCAGAAAGCCACGGCUAACUACGUG